rnacentral:rRNA from 1 species
GACGAACGCUGGCGGCGUGCCUAAUACAUGCAAGUAGAACGCUGAAGGAGGACUUUGCUUCUCUGGAUGAGUUGCGAACGGGUGAGUAACGCGUAGGUAACCUGCCUGGUAGCGUGGGAUAACUAUUGGAAACUAUAGCUAAUACCGCAUAAUAGUAGAUGUUGCAUGACAUUUGCUUAAAAGUUGCAAUUGCAUCACUACGAGAUGGACCUGCUUUGUAUUAGCUAGUUGGUGUGGUAACGGAUCACCUUGGCGACGAUACAUAGCCGCACGGAGAGGGGGAUGGGCCAAACUGAGAGUGAGACACGGCCCAGAGUCCUAGGGGAGGCAGCAGUAGGGAAUCUUGAGCAAUGGGCGGAAGUCUGAGCGAGAAACGCCGCGUCAGUGUAGAAGAAUUUCGGAUCGUGGAGCUCUGUUGUCAGAGAGGAAAGAGUGUGAGACUGGAAAGUACACAGUGUGACGGUAUCUUGCAAAAAAGGGACGGCUAACUACGUG